rnacentral:tRNA from 1 species
GCCACCAUAGCUCAGCCGGUAGAGCAAGUCAUUCGUAAUGACUCGGUCCUCGGUUCGAUUCCGAGUGGUGGCUCCA